AAACUUACGCUGCGUCUGUCUCGCUUUUAUCCUCCGAUGGCGCAGUGUCUCACGUGGCAGGUUCUCGACCAGCGGCAGACCGGCGAGUGUCUCGACGCCGUGGACCUUGAGGCGCUGCGAGCUGUCAUCAAGCGCAUCGACGACGAUCACGGUGGGGCGCUGCUACACUCGAGUGAGCGAACUGCGACGCAGGUGAAUGUGCUGCUCGACCUCUACGGCCACCUCGUCUUGUUUGCCAAGGCGUCGCAGUUUUCCCCGUUCAAGACAAGCACGCUCUUUGGCAUCGUGCAUCGUGUGCACGAGGCGAGCAUCGCAGAUCGCCUUUCCCGCUUUCACUCGUACGACCUCCUCCGCGAGCUCGUGGUGCGGCACAGCGUGCACCGCCCGCCAUACUCGACGAUGGUGUUUAACGUGCGAGAAGUGCAGGAUAUCGACACGUACAUGAUGAGUACCUACUACCGCCACUACAAAAUGUACGUGUACUGCUUUGUGCCACGCGAAGUGGCCAGCCUUCGGACAGUCAUGCUCAACGACACCGCCGAGGCACCACCAGUCCAACUCCCGCCUCUGUCCGCUGCCAUCAGAGAGGAUGCAUGGAAGGAAAAGAUGCAGGAGAAGGUGCGCACGCUCGAGGAGGCAGAGAUGGAGGAGCAGGUGAUCGUCUCAGAUGCGGUGUCGGAGGCGCAGAGGAACGCGGCCACGCUUGACAAUUCCAGAUUUAUGGCCGGCGUUCGCGCGCAGCUCGAGGCGAUUCGCGACGCCGUGUCGACAAAGUCCAGCGAACGACUAGACCUCAUCGAGGAGAAACUCACGGCAAUUGAGGCGAAGGUGAAUGAGGCGCAAAGUAGCGGCAGUCGUAGUCGUCAGGGCUCCAGAGGGUCGUCGAAGAGGAAGUGACCGCAAAUGGGCACAUGCGGCAGCGGACCCAGCCAAGAGGAGUGGUGGGCUGCAGGGAAGAGAGCGUCUCUGCUUCUCUGUCGCUCCCCCGCCGCUCUCUUUCUGUAGCCUUCUCUCUCUUUGCUAUGUGCUCCCUUCACGCUUCGCGCCGUGCCACCUCCCCCGUCUUCUCCCUUACCCUCUGCGUCAUGGCGACACUGCGCAGUUGACACCGCUGCUGCCGGGUUGGUGUCCGCUGUUGUGCGUGCAGGAGUGCCGUUCCACGUUGGGCCAGUCGUUGGCUGCUAUGUAAACUAGCAGAUUGCCUUGCUUUCUUAGGCUCUUGCGCUUGUCAGAGUAUCUGGGCGUGAGUGCGUGUGUGCCGGUGUGGGUGUGGGUGGGUGUGCUUGUCUGCGUCCUUGUGCGUUUGUUCGUGGAUUGAGGAUGGACGUUUCUUGUGUUACGAUAGUUUGAUGAAGGACAAGCCAGUAAGCGCGCCACGUGGGGUGAGAAGAGGUGCUGGAUUGCCUCCUCUGCUCACAGGCUGCCGGCGGAGCAUUACUGCAGGGGUCUUUGCUCUAUGGCGGUGGCCGCACGCCCAUGAAAGUGAGCAGCUGCGCAUCUCCAUCCCCUCCAUGCCGCUGUGUGUAUGUGUGUGGAUGAGGGAAGGGUCACGGUGCGUUUUGAUGCCGUUCAGUGCCGCACUGCUUCUGUUUGGCUCCUCUGUCACCGUUUUCCGUUUUGUCAUGUCGCCUCACCACAUUCUGCACUCGCAUGUCUCUCUCUCGCAUUCCCUCUCUGCGUCCGUGAUGGACUGCACACCGUAUGAGAACGCCGGAG
rnacentral:misc_RNA from 1 species